ACGAACGCUGGCGGCGUGCUUAACACAUGCAAGUCGAACGGAAAGGCCCUGCUUUUGUGGGGUGCUCGAGUGGCGAACGGGUGAGUAACACGUGAGUAACCUGCCCUUGACUUUGGGAUAACUUCAGGAAACUGGGGCUAAUACCGGAUAGGAGCUCCUGCUGCAUGGUGGGGGUUGGAAAGUUUCGGCGGUUGGGGAUGGACUCGCGGCUUAUCAGCUUGUUGGUGGGGUAGUGGCUUACCCAGGCUUUGACGGGUAGCCGGCCUGAGAGGGUGACCGGCCACAUUGGGACUGAGAUAAGGCCCAGACUCCUACGGGAGGCAGCAGUGGGGAAUAUUGCACAAUGGGCGGAAGCCUGAUGCAGCAACGCCGCGUGCGGGAUGACGGCCUUCGGGUUGUAAACCGCUUUCGCCUGUGACGAAGCGUGAGUGACGGUAAUGGGUAAAGAAGCACCGGCUAACUACGUG
rnacentral:rRNA from 1 species